CGUCAACAGAGGCUUUCAUUCUUCCUUCUUCGACAGUUCUUUUGCACACUGGCUUUUCACUGAGUGAAAAAUCCCAACUCAGCUUAGAAGAGCCUGUUUCCUCCCACAUGACCACAGAAGGCUGCAUGCAGAACACCAGAGUAUCUUGAAAGAAAACAACCCCAAGCUGGAAAGAAGCCCCGAAGACUGGAUUAUCCUGGUGUGAUUGGUUCAAGUCACUGCUCACAGAGACUUAGAGACAAAUGCGGAUCGUGCGGGCCAAGGACCCUUCUUGGCUUCCGGGCUCUGAGUCUGGACACUCAGGUACCAAAUCCUUCGGGGUUAGUGAAUGAUUGCAAGUGGUUGUUUUUUUCCCAACCGUGGUGGAAAAAAAAAAAAAUGUACAGUGUAUAAUAAACUGUUUCGCUAAAAUCUCAAAGAAUUCAGAAAUCAAACUUCCAGCUGUACACAGUAUUAAUAUUGUCAUUGUAAACGGAACAGGUUCAAUAUCAUGUGCAAAGGUUGAAAAUGCUUGUUAACACUGCCAUCGUGAGUAACAGCAGCGUGGGUUUUCAGCCUGUGGGAUACAUCUGUGCACGUGUGUGGCUGUAGUUCUGGUUUUUUGUUGUCCUUGCGGUGGUUGGUUUGUUUUGUUUGUUGUUAACCAGGGGUGAGCCACGUUACAGAAGAUGUGGUUGAAAAGUUAGCUUCGAACAGACGUCAGAAGUCUUUUUUUUUUUUUUUCCCUUCUCAAAACACACACCUAAGAACUAGGAAUCUUAGAACGAAAAGUUCGCUGCGCUCCGGUUGGCAGAACGCGUCUCUAGGGGUGGGGGGGUCUGUCAGGAGCUGCUGUGAGGGCGGCUCCUCUCUCUCCAAUGAGGCUGCUGCCAGGCCGCGUCUUCUCCUCUGUGUGGGUGGGUGCGGGGCUCUCUUUCACCACCAGCUUUCCUGUUACCUUCAUCAUCUGUCUGACUAUAGCUUGCCUGGGAAUAAGGAACGUGUGAUUUUUUUCUUUUUUUAAGACGAAAACUGUCCUCUAAAUCAGGGUUAUGAAGCUUAGGAUUCCCCCCACCCGCCUCCCCCCACACACACGUAUUCACACACUCUCUCUCUGUCCUCCCUUCCUCUGACAAUCCGAAACCAAUGUCCGGGGACACUAUGGGCUACUGCUAUUGCUGCAGCGAGGACAGGAAUCCUCUGUGUUGAGUCUCUUGCUUCACGGGCGCUGGAGGCAUCUGGAAGGUUGAAGCCACACAAACAGGAAUAUUUGUGUUGUCCUCAGCCGACCAGCAGAUGCGACCCCUCACCUACCAUCAGAAUGACAUCAUAAUUAGAAAAAAAUACCCACUUUCGAUUGUCCAAGCCCCCGGUUUCUGAAGUUAGGAUGUGGUUGGCCAAGGAGAGCGGGGUAUCAUGUGGCCAGAGGGAGGCAAAAGGGCCCAAUCCAAGAUCUGAGUCUGCCCAAAUGGUGUUUUGGUGGAUUCUUAAAUUUAGUGUUAGACAUUACAUACACUGUUUCUUCCAAAGAGGCUCGUUGGAAAGCAAGGUUCCCUCUAUUCACCCCUGUUAGUAUUGAUGAGUGCAUUCGUAUCCUCAAACAGGACUGAAGCUCUUUUUGAGCAGAGGAUGGGUCGUUUAUUUCUUUGGCGUCCCACCCUCUGCCCCGUACCCAUGUAGGGCUGUGCCUUGGUGGACCCCUAAUGAACUUUCAGCAACGAAGCCGGCUUCAGGACUCUUGGGUAAGAAAGGCACGGCUUUGGGAUAAUUUCUGGUCUUGCAGCACAAUCAGAAAACCCAGACAAAUCGAUUUCAAUAGCAUAAACGGUUCCAGGAUUUCAGCUGUAUUUCUUGGCUGCCUCAAGAAAAAUUAUACCAGGAUAGAACUAGCCACAAAGAUGAGAAGUCACUGGCUUCUGGACUGAUCCAGAAGAUUUUAAGUAAAUUUGGCCUAAGGAGCUGAUUUAGUGACAGGCUAGUUCAUGUUUAGAGUCCUGUGGAAUGCCCGCUGGGGAGGUAGGAAAUGGCAGAGGCCACGACGGUUUCAAUUUUUCACCACCAGAUUGACAACAAAAGAUGAAAAAAAUGGCCUGAGAACUUCUAGCGAACUGAAAUCUUUGGCUUUUAGGUAGAAGACCCAAAUGCCACUUCUUAUCUGAGUUUAUGUCAAGACAUUUCAUUAGUUUUUAAGAAAAAUAUUUUUCUAAGAACUAGUUACUGAUGUUUAAAUAAUGUGCAGAAUAAAAACGAUCCAAUCGCUGGCACUAAGAGAAAGAAAAUGCUGUUAAAGGAGAGGCUUGUUCCUUUGGGACUAGAUUUGUUAUAACCGGAAUAGAUAUUUUCAGAAACAGCUCCUGGGAAUUUUUUCACCAUGGUCAUAAUGAAUCAGGAGAGCAUGUGGUGUGGCGUCCUCAAAUCCAAGGGAGGUAGACUAGAAUGCAGACAGUCAGAUCCUUCUUUUCACACUAAAAAGGCCUCAAAGCUCCUAAAGUAUAUUCCUUAACAGCAGUUAUGUCACGAUUUCUACUUGCUUAAUCCUAACCUGAGGACUGAGAUGGGUCAGUCAGUAAUGCGUGAGUUAGGAUGUAUUGUUUUCAAGUUGAUUUGUCAUUUAAGAGCUAUAUAUUCCUUUUUAAAUUUAGCAGCCAGAGUGGACUUUACUACCAUCUGUCGGAUAGACUUAUGAAAUCUAUGGGUGGGAAAGACUACAUCACUCAGGUAGAUACAAGUCCCGGGGCCCUGCCAGCCAGAGACUGUGAGAGGUGCAUUUACUCUGAACUGUAUGGGGUACAGCUAAAGGGCCACUGGCUGGAGCCAGAGAAAGGAGCUCGACUUAUGAGACAGUGUGGCCAAAGGUGUAUAAAAUUAUUUGCACAUAGCUGAGUCCUAGCUUUGUUUAUAAAAAUACAGAGAGCAAGCUGGUUCUGAGUCCCGGAGGUUCCCAUACACUUAAAAAAUAACUACAGCAGCUCCCCAGGAUGAAACUGCUUGUAAAGCACUAAGCAUAGUUCCAGGCACGUAUGUGUGUGCUCAUAAUAAAUUAUGGUGUGUCUGGCACGAUGUUAAACUCUUUAAAAACUACACCCCGGUGAAGACAACUCCACUGUGAGGUGAGUAUCAUGAUAUAUGUUGUGCAGAGGGAACAGAGGUUCACAGAGGUUUAAUAAUCUGUCAAGGUUAUGCCGCUGUGAUUUGGUGGAAUCCGUAUUUGAAAUCAGGUCUAUUAGGGUCCAGAGUCUAAGCUUCAGAUGGCUACACUCAAGUGGUCCUGCCAAUCCAGUGCUAUUCUCUCUACAUUAAACACAUUACUGAGGAUUUCCCAUGUAUGUAGGUAGGUCCUCGGGGGUGGGGAACCACAUGCCAUGUAAAUGAUAUUUUAAAUUAAGCUGUAUCUUGCUGAAUUCCACAGGGAAUCUGAAUCAACUAUUCCAAAAAUAUAAGGCUGCAGAAUUUCUCCUCUCUGUUUUGCUUCCUUUUUUUUUUUU